rnacentral:misc_RNA from 1 species
ACUCUAUGAGGGUCUUGAUUGGCUUUCUAACAACAUCGCCAAUAAGGCCUAAGUCGAAAUAGAGUUGUUGCGGAUUCAUCCUGGAUGCAGGCGGGUUUUUAUCUAGUUCCAUUUACUUUUAUUUCGUCUUUUUUCUUUCAGACAUUCUCUGAAUCUGUGUGGUUAUGGCAUUUGCUUCUUAGGAGGUCACUUUUGAAACGUUUUUGUAAUACAAUGGUUGAAUGUAUGUAAUUUGCUGAUUAAACUUUAUUAACUUGUAACAAAUACUAGCUCUUUUCUGGUUAUUUUGCAGUCAAUUUAAAAUGCAUAUCAAAUACCAUAAUAUAAAA